rfam:Streptomyces afghaniensis 772 genomic scaffold STAFG_scaffold1421, whole genome shotgun sequence.
GCUUUGCUACGUUGGAGGGACCCCCGACGAGACGCGCCGUACCGGGACGAAGGCAAAGACGACGCACC